GAUGAACGCUGGCGGCGUGCCUAACACAUGCAAGUCGAGCGGCAGCGCGAGUAGUUUACUACUUGGCGGCGAGCGGCGGACGGCUGAGUAACGCGUGGGAACAUACCCCAAAGUGAGGGAUAACUGCCCGAAAGGGUAGCUAAUACCGCAUAUGAUCUUCGGAUUAAAGGAUUUAUCCGCUUUGGGAGUGGCCCGCGUCGGAUUAGGUAGUUGGUGAGGUAAAGGCUCACCAAGCCGACGAUCCGUAGCUGGUCUGAGAGGAUGAUCAGCCAGACUGGGACUGAGACACGGCCCAGACUCCUACGGGAGGCAGCAGUGAGGAAUCUUCCACAAUGGGCGAAAGCCUGAUGGAGCAACGCCGCGUGCAGGAUGAAGGCCUUCGGGUUGUAAACUGCUUUUAUAAGUGAGGAAUAUGACGGUAACUUAUGAAUAAGGAUCGGGCUAAGUCGUAACAAGG
rnacentral:rRNA from 1 species